rnacentral:rRNA from 1 species
AACGAACGCUGGCGGCAGGCUUAACACAUGCAAGUCGAACGCAUCCUUUGGGGUGAGUGGCAGACGGGUGAGUAACGCGUGGGAACGUGCCCUUCAGUUCGGGAUAACCCAGGGAAACUUGGGCUAAUACCGGAUACGUGCGAGAGCAGAAAGAUUUAUCGCUGAAGGAUCGGCCCGCGUCUGAUUAGCUAGUUGGUGGGGUAAUGGCCCACCAAGGCGACGAUCAGUAGCUGGUCUGAGAGGAUGAUCAGCCACAUUGGGACUGAGACACGGCCCAAACUCCUACGGGAGGCAGCAGUGGGGAAUAUUGGACAAUGGGCGCAAGCCUGAUCCAGCCAUGCCGCGUGAGUGAUGGAGGCCUUAGGGUUGUAAAGCUCUUUCGUCCGGGACGAUAAUGACGGUACCGGAAGAAGAAGCCCCGGCUAACUUCGUGCCAGCCGCCGCGGUAA